rnacentral:rRNA from 1 species
AGCGAACGCUGGCGGCAGGCCUAAUACAUGCAAGUCGAACGGCCCUUCGGGGCAGUGGCGGACGGGUGAGUAACACGUGGGAACGUGCCCUUUGGUACGGAACAACUGAGGGAAACUUCAGCUAAUACCGUAUGUGCCCUUCGGGGGAAAGAUUUAUCGCCAUUGGAGCGGCCCGCGUUGGAUUAGCUAGUUGGUGGGGUAAAGGCCCACCAAGGCUACGAUCCAUAGCUGGUCUGAGAGGAUGAUCAGCCACACUGGGACUGAGACACGGCCCAGACUCCUACGGGAGGCAGCAGUAGGGAAUCUUGCGCAAUGGGCGAAAGCCUGACGCAGCCAUGCCGCGUGAAUGAUGAGGGUCUUAGGAUUGUAAAAUUCUUUCACCGGGGAAGAUAAUGACGGUACCCGGAGAAGAAGCCCCGGCUAACUUCGUGCCAGCCGCCGCAGUAA